AUUUAAGUAGUUUAAUUUAAAAUGUUAAUUUGUGGGGUUAAUGAUGUAAUUUUUUUAUCUUAAAUU
rnacentral:tRNA from 1 species